CCACAAAUAUCCUCAAUCACUGA
rnacentral:snRNA from 1 species